rnacentral:tRNA from 1 species
GGAAUACAAAAAGUAGCUUAAACAAAGCAUUUAACUUACAAUUAAAAAAUGUCAGGAGACCCUGACCUUUCU